UCCCUACGGGACGCAGCAGUAGGGAAUCUUCCACAAUGGGCGAAAGCCUGAUGGAGCAACGCCGCGUGGGUGAAGAAGUAUUUCGGUAUGUAAAGCCCUAUCAGCAGGGAAGAAAGAAGACGGUACCUGACUAAGAAGCCCCGGCUAACUACGUGCCAGCAGCCGCGGUAAUACGUAGGGGGCGAGCGUUAUCCGGAUUCACUGGGUGUAAAGGGAGCGUAGACGGCCGUGCAAGCCAGGAGUGAAAGCCCGGGGCCCAACCCCGGGACUGCUCUUGGAACUGUGCGGCUGGAGUGCGGGAGGGG
rnacentral:rRNA from 1 species